GCGGCGCCCAUGUCGAAUCCUCACGACAGGACGUGAAAACCUAAACCCAAGGCCGACGUGGAGGAGGAAGAAGAAGAAGAAGAUCCUAUAGACAAGCUGGUCAACGCGUCAGGAUGUGCGGAUCAACACUUUGCACUCCUAGACUGCAUGGCAGAGCACCAAGACUGGAGGAAGUGUCAGGAGGAGACAAAGAAGUUCAGGUUGUGCAUGACAGAAGCACAGAAGAAGAAGCUGGAGAAGAGAUGACAAGAUACCCCCUCCCUCGUCCUCCAGAUGACAAUAGCCUCAUUAUCAUAGUGGACAUGAUUGUAAGUGACUAGCAGAAACACUGACUCAUCUAUGGUCUUUUGCACAGGACUGCCUGAAAAGUAGGUCAGGGUUUGACCUUAGUGUACAC